rnacentral:rRNA from 1 species
CGGUAUUUUGACCGUGCGAAGGUAGCGCAAUCACUUGUCUUUUAAAUGAAGACCCGUAUGAAUGGCAUAACGAGGGCUUAACUGUCUCCUCUUUCAGGUCAAUGAAAUUGAUCUUCCCGUGCAGAAGCGGGUAUACAAACAUAAGACGAGAAGACCCUAUGGAGCUUUAGACACCAAGGCGGCCCACAUUAAACACCCCCGAAUAAGGGACUAAACCACAGUGAACACCGCCCUAAUGUCUUUGGUUGGGGCGACCGCGGGGAAUUACAAAACCCCCACGUGGAAUGGGGGCACCCCUCCUACAGCUAAGAGCUACAGCUCUAGUAAACAGAAAUUCUGACCAAUAAGAUCCGGCAAUGCCGAUCAACGGACCGAGUUACCCUAGGGAUAACAGCGCAAUCCUCUUUUAGAGCCCAUAUCGACAAGAGGGUUUACGACCUCGAUGUUGGAUCAGGACAUCCUAAU